UUCUUAAAAAAAUUUAUAAAAUAUUCUCAACACAAGUUUGUUUUUAGAGAUCAUUGUUGUUGUUACUCACUCAUGUACAAAAAAUAAUCUAAGAACACAGGUAAAUGUAUACAUAAAAGUAGACGGAAUCAUCAUUUGCUCAUAGAAAUGCAGAAACACACACAAGAUCUAUCUAUCUACGGAAGCAAGAAAUGGUACUUACAAGAUGGGCAAGCACUUCACAAUCACUCUCGGUAUGGUACUUGUGAGACUUCAGACUUUCAGUUUCACGCAA
rnacentral:lncRNA from 1 species